rnacentral:lncRNA from 1 species
CCAUUGUUGUGAACUGGCUCAGUCUAGGGGUGAGCCGACUCAAUUUUCAGAACUAAAUGUUUAUGCAUAAAAUCAUUGUAAAGAAGUUUACAAAUUAUAAAAUAUUGACAAAUUGAAAUUGUUUCUGUUGGGUAUAAAGUAUCCUCGGCCGAAGUUCUUGGUGGGAUCGACCCUCGCAAGUCUCUUUCGACUUUCGACUACUGU